CGACGUUAGCCACUGACGUUGACCCUAACGUUGACAAUGAAGUCUCUCUUUGCUUUCUCUCUCGUAGCCUAACGGCAAAAACAACCGCCGAAACGGUGAGCAAAACGACGCCGGCUGCUCCACAAACCAAGCUGGAAAUCAAUAGCACUUGUCUCACGUGAUCUUUACGGUUGCUGUCACGUGACAUUUGAUCGCCGGAAUUAGCCCACCAGGUCAAAUUCCUAGCCUCCGGUAGCGAAGAGGGUGUUUUCUCUCCGGUGCCGGCGAAGAAUGAAUGCAAUUCUGGAUCUGUAGAUUUUGCGGUUGGG
rnacentral:misc_RNA from 1 species